GAGCUGGGUUCAGAACGUCGUGAGACAGUUCGGUCCCUAUCCGUCGUGGGCGUAGGAAAUUUGAGAGGAGCUGUCCUUAGUACGAGAGGACCGGGAUGGACAUACCUCUGGUGUACCAGUUGUCGUGCCAACGGCAUAGCUGGGUAGCUAUGUAUGGACGGGAUAAGUGCUGAAAGCAUCUAAGCAUGAAGCCCCCCUCAAGAUGAGAUUUCCCAACUUCGGUUAUAAGAUCCCUCAGAGAUGAUGAGGUUAAUAGGUUCGAGGUGGAAGCGUGGUGACACGUGGAGCUGACGAAUACUAAUCGAUCGA
rnacentral:rRNA from 13 species